rnacentral:rRNA from 1 species
AUCGAACGCUGGCGGCAGGCCUAACACAUGCAAGUCGAACGAGUGGCGGACGGGUGAGUAAGGGCUGGGAAACUGCCUGACGGAGGGGGAUGACUACUGGAAAACGUAGCUAAUAGCGCAUCACAACAGUUGUGCCGAGGUGGGUUUAGCUUGCUGGGGGGGUAACGGCGCAUCAAGGCGACGAUCCCUAGCUGGUCUGAGAGGAUGACCAGCCACACUGGAACUGAGACACGGCCCAGACUCCGACGUGAGGCAGCAGUGGGGAAUAUUGCGCAAUGGACUCAAGUCUGAUGCAGCAAUGCCGCGUGUGUGAAGAAGGCCUUCGGAUUGUAAAGUACUUUUAGCAGAGAAGCGUUACCCACCGAGGAAGCACCGGCUAACUCCGUGCAAGCAGCCGCGGUAAUAC